rnacentral:rRNA from 1 species
UACGUAGGGGGCAAGCGUUAUCCGGAAUCACUGGGCGUAAAGGGAGCGUAGGCGGUUUGACAAGCCAGCGGUGAAAGGCAAUAGCUUAACUAUUGUAAGCCGUUGGAACUGUUGAACUUGAGUGCAGGAGAGGAAAGUGGAAUUCCUAGUGUAGCGGUGAAAUGCGUAGAUAUUAGGAGGAACACCAGUGGCGAAGGCGACUUUCUGGACUGUAACUGACGCUGAGGCUCGAAAGCGUGGGGAGCAAACAGGAUUAGAUACCCUGGUAGUCCACGCUGUAAACGAUGAAUACUAGGUGUCAGGGGUCAAACCUUGGUGCCGCAGCUAACGCAUUAAGUAUUCCGCCUGGGGAGUACGCACGCAAGUGUGAA